rnacentral:rRNA from 1 species
UAGGGAAUCUUCCGCAAUGGACGAAAGUCUGACGGAGCAAUGCCGCGUGAGUGAAGAAGGUUUUCGGAUCGUAAAACUCUGUUGUUAGAGAAGAACAAGGAUGAGAGUAACUGCUCAUCCCCUGACGGUAUCUAACCAGAAAGCCACGGCUAACUACGUGCCAGCAGCCGCGGUAAUACGUAGGUGGCAAGCGUUGUCCGGAUUUAUUGGGCGUAAAGCGAGCGCAGGCGGUUCUUUAAGUCUGAUGUGAAAGCCCCCGGCUCAACCGGGGAGGGUCAUUGGAAACUGGAGAACUUGAGUGCAGAAGAGGAGAGUGGAAUUCCACGUGUAGCGGUGAAAUGCGUAGAUAUGUGGAGGAACACCAGUGGCGAAGGCGACUCUCUGGUCUGUAACUGACGCUGAGGCUCGAAAGCGUGGGGAGCAAACA